GCAUCUAGAACACUGAGAAAUCCAGGAUGGACACUUAACACUACCAAAGAUUGAUCUAUUUUGGGGACAGAGAGGGCAGGGGAAACUGCCAUUUUUAAGCUAUCAGAUCUUGUCAGAACUCCGUCACUAUCACGAGAAGAGCAUGAGGGAAACUGCCCCCAUGACCCAAUCACCUCCCACCAUCCCCCGCUCAACACGUGGGGAUGACAAUUCAAGAUGGAAUUGUGUGGGGACACAGAGCCAAACCAUAUCAAGUACCUACAAAAUUAUGGUGACUCUUCACUAAUUUGCAAACUGAUUAUCUGCAAAUCUUAAAUAGGGAAUAAAACACAAAAAUAUCAUUAUCCCUCCAGAACUGAGGACGCAAAUUGGAUUUAGAAGACUUAGCUUUGACACCUAGAUAUGUUUUCAUUGAUUUGACCUAACUUGAUCUCAGUUUCUCUUUUAUAGAGUUAGUUCUUUAGAUCAGAGGUCCCCAACCCCAGGACUGCGGACUGCCACUGGUCUUUGGCCUGUCAGGCACCCGGCCACACAGCUGGAGGGUGAAAAAAAAGGAAAAAACUGAAAAUCUCAAGAGGAUUCCAGGAAAUCAAAACAAUGAAUUAUUGAAUCAAGAAUUUGAAAGAGAAAAUAGAUGCAUACUGAAAAAAGAAUUUUGUUUAGUGAGAUAGAUGUAAUAAUGAAGGCAUGUUGAUAACGGGGGAGCUAUGUAUAUAUGAGGGGAGGGAUAUAUUGGAAAUCUCUGUAUCUUCCUCUCAAUCUUGCUGUGAUCCUAAAACUGCUCUAAAAAAUAUUUUGAGAAGGAAUAAUGAUGUGGUAAACAUGUUCUGUUAUUUAAAAAGAGAGACUUUUCAUAGCCGCCUCCCUCCCCCUCUACACACACACAGAGUCCUGUCCGUCUUCAUUCCCUUACUCAAUAAUUUGUACAGACACAGCCACUGGGCUCCAGUAAUCCUAAAGUUUCUAGAAAAUCAAGCACAGAAAAAGGUUAAAACCCUGAGGGAAUAAAAGAAUUCCUUUGCAUCCAUUGCAUUUCUCAGGAAGUGAACUAAC
rnacentral:lncRNA from 10 species